AUUGAACGCUGGCGGCAGGCCUAACACAUGCAAGUCGAACGAGUGGCGGACGGGUGAGUAAUGUCUGGGAAACUGCCCGAUGGAGGGGGAUAACUACUGGAAACGGUAGCUUAUACCGCAUACUAUCGGAUGUGCCCAGAUGGGAUUAGCUAGUAGGUCGGGUAACGGCUCACCUAGGCGACGAUCCCUAGCUGGUCUGAGAGGAUGACCAGUCACACUGGAACUGAGACACGGUCCAGACUCCUACGGGAGGCAGCAGUGGGGAAUAUUGCACAAUGGGCGAAAGCCUGAUGCAGCCAUGCCGCGUGUGUGAAGAAGGCCUUCGGGUUGUAAAGUACUUUCAGCGAGGAGGCGUUACUCGCAGAAGAAGCACCGGCUAACUCCGUGCCAGCAGCCGCGGUAAUAC
rnacentral:rRNA from 1 species